rnacentral:rRNA from 1 species
AUUGAACGCUGGCGGCAUGCUUUACACAUGCAAGUCGAACGGCAGCACGGACUUCGGUCUGGUGGCGAGUGGCGAACGGGUGAGUAAUACAUCGGAACGUGCCCAGUUGUGGGGGAUAACUACUCGAAAGAGUAGCUAAUACCGCAUGAGAACUGAGGUUGAAAGCAGGGGAUCGUAAGACCUUGCGCAACUGGAGCGGCCGAUGGCAGAUUAGGUAGUUGGUGGGAUAAAAGCUUACCAAGCCGACGAUCUGUAGCUGGUCUGAGAGGACGACCAGCCACACUGGGACUGAGACACGGCCCAGACUCCUACGGGGGGCAGCAGUGGGGAAUUUUGGACAAUGGGCGAAAGCCUGAUCCAGCAAUGCCGCGUGCAGGAUGAAGGCCCUCGGGUUGUAAACUGCUUUUGUACGGAACGAAAAGCUUCGGGUUAAUACCCUGGAGUCAUGACGGUACCGUAAGAAUAAGCACCGGCUAACUACGUGCCAGCAGCCGCCGUAA